UUUAUGGAGAGUUUGAUCCUGGCUCAGGACGAACGCUGGCGGCGUGCCUAAUACAUGCAAGUCGAGCGCGGGAAGCAGACUGAAUCCUUCGGGAGGACGUCUGUGGAACGAGCGGCGGACGGGUGAGUAACACGUGGGCAACCUGCCUGUAAGACUGGGAUAACUCCGGGAAACCGGGGCUAAUACCGGAUAACACAUCGGUUCGCAUGAACCGAUGAUGAAAGAUGGCUUCUUGCUAUCACUUACAGAUGGGCCCGCGGCGCAUUAGCUAGUUGGUGGGGUAACGGCCUACCAAGGCAACGAUGCGUAGCCGACCUGAGAGGGUGAUCGGCCACACUGGGACUGAGACACGGCCCAGACUCCUACGGGAGGCAGCAGUAGGGAAUCAUCCGCAAUGGACGAAAGU
rnacentral:rRNA from 1 species